GACGAACGCUGGCGGCGUGCUUAACACAUGCAAGUCGAACGGAAAGGCCCUGCUUUUGUGGGGUGCUCGAGUGGCGAACGGGUGAGUAACACGUGAGUAACCUGCCCUUGACUUUGGGAUAACUUCAGGAAACUGGGGCUAAUACCGGAUAGGAGCUCCUGCUGCAUGGUGGGGGUUGGAAAGUUUCGGCGGUUGGGGAUGGACUCGCGGCUUAUCAGCUUGUUGGUGGGGUAGUGGCUUACCAAGGCUUUGACGGGUAGCCGGCCUGAGAGGGUGACCGGCCACAGUGGGACUGCAGUACGGCCCAGACUCCGACGGGAGGCAGCAGUGGGGAAUAUUGCACAAUGGGCGGAAGCCUGAUGCAGCAACGCCGCGUGCGGGAUGACGGCCUUCGGGUUGUAAACCGCUUUCGCCUGUGACGAAGCGUGAGUGACGGUAAUGGGUAAAGAAGCACCGGCUAACUACGUG
rnacentral:rRNA from 1 species